rnacentral:lncRNA from 1 species
UAGAGUUGAGAAUGAUUUAGAUAUUUUUGGAAAUGAAUUUCGAGGGUUUCGAAACUUGGACGAACAAAAAAAUUCUAUCCGAUCGGCAGAUCUAGCACACAUACCCGUGCGGGACCUUUUUAAUCUAUUUGGAGAAGGGACGAUAGGGUGUGACAUUAGACCCUGUCGACCAUGCUAUUUUUAGGCAGCGUUUGGUUAGGAGAUAGGGAUAGGAAUAUGCCCUUAUCCCCCCCUUUAUACCGAAACACUAAUUUUUUAUCCGAGAAUAGUAGUUCUCAGUUAUCCCUACCAACACCUCCAUUUUCUAUAUAAAACUAUCUAAAAUUAUUCUUAUUUCCGGAAAUAAUCCAAUUUUCAUCCAAACACUAUUUUUCUUAUCCCCAUACUUGUACCUAUCCCUGUAAUAGCUAGUUCUUGCUUAUACCCAAACCAAACGGUACCUUAGAGUCUUCCCUGUUAAUGAUAUUUCAUAUAGAAAACACGACAUCCAUUCUAAGGUCUCUAUGUUAUACUGAACUAUGAGAACAAAUUUUUUCUAAAAACAUUAUUUUAGCGUAAAAUUAAUAUGUUU